rnacentral:rRNA from 1 species
UACAGAGGUCCCAAGCGUUGUUCGGAUUCACUGGGCGUAAAGGGUGCGUAGGUGGUGAGGUAAGUCGGAUGUGAAAGCUCGGAGCUCAACUCCGAAAUGGCAUUGGAAACUACCUUGCUCGAGGGUUGGAGGGGGACUGGAAUACUUGGGUGUAGCAGUGAAAUGCGUAGAUAUCAAGUGGAACACCAGUGGCGAAGGCGAGUCCCUGGACAACUCCUGACACUGAGGCACGAAAGCUAGGGGAGCAAACAGG